rnacentral:lncRNA from 1 species
UGCCCACCUCUGCCUCCCAAAGUGCUGGGAUUACAGGUGUGAGCCACCGCACCCAGUCAGCUCACUUAAUUUUCAUGGAAUACAGUGGGCAUUAUGAUCCCAAUUUUACAAGUGAGAAAACUGAGAAGGAGAGAGGUCCCCAAAGUUGCCUAAAGUCACACAGUAAGUGGUAGAGUCAGGAUUCCAGCUGAAGUCUGCUUCCAAAUCCCACCUUCUAACCGCUGCCACUAGACUGCUGUGUCUGCUGGGGUGUUAGGUCACAGGAGAAAAGAGAUAAUGGCUUUGUGACCCGGGAGCUCCGCCUUCACCUCCUCCUGCCAUCCUCAGCAUGAGCCAGCUGCAUGAGGGGUGCUGUGUGCUGGGCUGGAGGAUGGAGCCAUGUGCCACUCCCUCCGAGGCACGCUGUGAAGGUGCAAGUGGUGUGUUCUGAGAGUGCGGAGGAUGAAAACUUCUCACCCAGCUUUCUACAUUCAAGUUUACAAGUGCUGCUCAGGACCCACUGAUUAUUUCCAGGGGAAGAUCACCAAACCGCCUAAGGCCGAGACUCCCAGGAUAGCGCAGCAUGCCCCGGAGUCCCCCAGCUCGAUUUGCUCAGAACUCAGAAAGAAAACAGCCCACACUCCUUGAACUUCAGGCACUGAUGGAGGCAUUUUCCAAAGAACAGUGACAAGGACGGCCAGCACCUCUCUUGCAUUCCUCAGUCUGACUCAAGCUGCUCUUCCACCCUCCUCCCCAGCUGGAGCUGAGGCUGAAGGCAGUUGAGGGCCACCAGGGAGAAGAGCUGGGUCAGGGCCGUGACUUGCCAGCAAGCAUGAGGCCAAGCAGAUGUGCCGGAACAGCUGUGGUGACAGAGCUGUGGCCAACUGCUCCCUGGGCCGAGGGUGAAGGAAGCUGUGCUCCCACUGGUGCUAGGGAAGGCUGCUGCAGGGCUGGAGGCCUGGGUGCUGGACUGCUGGGGCAGGCUGCCUGCUGUACCCCCAAGCUGCAGUCAGGGCUCGCCCUGAGGCCCUGAGGUGGAGAGAGAGCAGCUGUCUCGUACACACCCAUGUGCACAAGUGCAGGCACACACACACACACACACACACACACAAAAGACGUUCUCACUUCAUCCCCGAAUUCUCCCUCCUACACACAAAGCUAGUUCCCAGUUCUCCAGUCCCCCUCCAUCCCUCUCCACUUCUGUAGUCUCUGCUGGGCUGCACUGGGGAUCUGGUCCCAAUUCCCCUCUCUUCCCUUGCUGCCCCUGUAACAAAGGGCUGGCCAUGUGACAUGAUCUCCUCAGGCUUCAGAGAAGUGAUUUUACCCUGAGCUACACAGGCAGGAAGACCACCAGCCUGGAAGGGCCCUUCAGCCACUUUCCCAACAAACAGCAAAUCUCCGCCGAUUGAACUCUGACUGAGGCAAUGGGGGCAUGCCAGGCAACAAGGUGGAGGUUUGCUACCGUGGGAGCAGGGAGAGCGUGGAACACAGACGCUCUGGGUGUUGAAGAGGAGGCUUCACCCUUAAAUCCACACCAACAGCCCCCUUCACUUCCCCCGGUGAAGAACGAAGGACCCUGUGGGAUUUCUACUUCAAAUCUCUCAUUUAUUCCGACAUCCACUCGGUUAUGACUCCAAGUUAUCAAAGAUGCAAGACAAGAAGUCUAGAGCAGGAGUGGUGAAGUGGAGGUGGAGAAAGACGGCGGAGAGGGCUGUGUUCCUGGCCCCUCCUUCUCUUCCAAUUUAGGGCACCGUUUGAAAAGUGUACAAGUAGUGUCCCUUAGCACAGACUAGACAGCAGAAAAGGACAGUGCAGUUGAGUGGGGGAAGCUUCCUUUUCCACAGGGUGGGGCCCUGCGGCUGCAGCGGGCAGGCAGGCAAUCUCGAGCCUGGUUGGAGACCGUGCCCUGAGCAGCGUGGGCUAUGUGGGGAAGAGCUGGGGCCCACCAUCUCUCCAGCACCCCAAACCCAGAUUCUGAUUUGUGGGGCUAGCAGGGCUUAGCUAGGAAAGCGGUAGGAGGGAGGGGAUUGCACAGGACGCUUGUACUCAGGGACCCCAUCAAUCAGGGGCAAGAAGUGGGUGAUGGUUAACUGGGUCUUGAUUUUUACAAAGGCAGGACGUACGAAUGAUGUUAUUUCUGGCAAGGAGGACACGGCUGCUGUGGUUGAUUGGCUGUGGAAUUCCAGGGGAGCAAGGCACUAGGAAGUGGGGAACGCUGCCAGGCCCAGCAGCUCAUCAGGAGCUUGCACUUGGCCCAGUUAGGGCUGGCCGUGGGACGGGCUUGUUGAAGCUGCUGCCGCCAUAAGCUGCCCCUCUGCACCAGGAGACAGAUCCCAUUACCCCACCUACAGCUGCUUCCUGGUACAAGAGAAGAGUUACCAUUUGAAAUGACUCCACAGGAGAGUCUGACAAACAUGUUUGCUUUUCACUGACAAUUAAAAUUGUUUUGCUGCUAAUCUUGUUUUAUUGUGGUCUUUCAUCCAUCAGCAAGCAUCCCUGCACGCAAGAUCAGAGUUGGGUAAAUACAUCCAGACCCUGCCAGGAUUAGGGCAAGAGGGAGUGCUCUGGGCCGGCAGAUCUUUUUCGGAAAUUCUCACUUCUUGGAGCACUAAAGGGUUGUUAGUCUAUCUGGGCAAGCCUCGUUUCCCUGGAGAAAAUGGAGUCUCAGAGAUUAGUGACUGGUCCUAGAGCUAAUGAGUGACCAAAGUGUGACCAGAGCCCAGGUCUGCUUCUCAACCCAGGGCACUUUGAUUCCAGAUUGAGAUGUAAGGUGACAGGUGCCUUAAUAGUGGCGCAAAAGAUGUGCAUUCCCCUCUUCCUCCCUCCCCGCUCCCUGCUCCCCCAGCGGCACCCUGACCUUCCUCAAAUGCAGAAUCAAGAUUUCAGCAGGGGGGCCAGCCCUUUCCCUGCCCCACCCUCCUCGAAUUCAGUGACUCAGGAGUGGGAAGGGGGUUAGCUAUGCCCUUAGAAGGGGGCCAGCUUCUGCAGAGGCCACUGGAAAACUCAUCAGGAUUCUCACUCACAAAGCCACUGCCACAUUCUAAGUAGGAAGUCGGAGUUGGAAAUGAGGCUGGUGUGAGACACAAUAAAUGGCUCAUCGCCAGGAAACUGGGGAGUAGGGCGGCCAAGGGAGGGCGGCGAGCGUGGAAUCCCAAGGCUAAGUCACGUCCCUCCCAUCCUCAGGACUGGGCUGUUGCUCUGGUGAGAUGAAUGAAGAUCCUGCUCCACGGCGUCACAGGUGGAUGCUUACAUAGAAUGCCGGGCUCUGGGGGACUUGACGUGGUUUCAGCCGCUGCAGCAUCGCCCCACAGAGAUUCUGUGCUCUUCCUGUUCACCAGCCCGCUGUCUGCCAUGGGGAUUGGUCACGUGUUAACCACCUUUCGUUCAAGCUGUUUCGGGAUCAGACUUUUCCUUCUCUGGUACAUGGGAGACCUUUCCUCUCUGCAGCUCCUGAAUGUACAAAGCCCCUGGUGCCUACCCGUGGUUACUGUGUGUGUGUGUGUGUGUGUGUGUGUGUGUGUGUGUCUGUGCGCGCGCGCGCGCGUGCGUACACCUGGGAACGGUUAUGCACACCCUCACAGGACUGCAUCCACACAAGCUACUCGGCGUGGUGGGCUGGGCCGAGAGACAGUCAGCUGGUCUCUUUGCUAAGCUACCAGAAGUCGGCUAACAAAAUGAAAAAACUUCUCCAGCAGGGGGCGCUGGUUCCUAAGUCAGAGAAAGGAUUUCGGGGAACACAAGGUUAGACACUUUCUGGUGCAGUCCCCACAAGCCACCUUAGGCUUUAAAGUCAACUUGACACGUCCCACGAGGAAGGGGGCAGGUGAGAUGUGAUACGUUCAGGAAUCAACGACCCUACGGGAGCAGCUACAGUGACAGCAGUAGCUAUGGUAACCAACGUACAAAGCUGGGCUGUGAACUAGCUGUUGGAGUCGUUUCAGCAAGCGCGUCCUGAAGCAGUGCCGUUGACGCCCCGCCCCUCGCUUCUCCAAUGCUGGAAUUGUAGCUCUCACUUCUCUCCUUGCCCUCUGUCCCCUUUUCCUAGGCACGGAUGCUUCAUCUCCCGAGGACCCGGGAGGCCUCCUGAGCCUUUGCUGAGCUUUCCCUGGUGCUCCUUUUUGCAGUCCAGCGAAUCCAGGGGACUGGGGCACACUGCAAGGGGUUGUGGUGGUGCUGGGGCUGCCAGAGGAGUGUCCCAACCAAGAAACUGGCGAAGCUGCAGACUCGACCUAGCAGUCCCCCACCUCUGGCCCACAGAGUUGGAGCCAGGCCCUGUCUUGGUUCUCAAUGCACUCAAAAGCUUAAAUCCUAGUAAACCCUCCACUGCGGAGCGAGAAAA